GACGAACGCUGGCGGCGUGCUUAACACAUGCAAGUCGAACGUGAUUUUUGUGGAAAUUCUUUCGGGAAUGGAAAUGAAAUGAAAGUGGCGAACGGGUGAGUAACACGUGAGCAACCUACCUUACACAGGGGGAUAGCCGUUGGAAACGACGAUUAAUACCGCAUGAGACCACAGAAUCGCAUGAUAUAGGGGUCAAAGAUUUAUCGGUGUAAGAAGGGCUCGCGUCUGAUUAGCUAGUUGGAAGGGUAAAGGCCUACCAAGGCGACGAUCAGUAGCCGGUCUGAGAGGAUGAACGGCCACAUUGGAACUGAGAUACGGUCCAAACUCCUACGGGAGGCAGCAGUGGGGAAUAUUGCACAAUGGGGGGAACCCUGAUGCAGCGACGCCGCGUGAGCGAAGAAGGUUUUCGAAUCGUAAAGCUCUGUCCUAUGAGAAGAUAAUGACGGUAUCAUAGGAGGAAGCCCCGGCUAAAUACGUG
rnacentral:rRNA from 1 species